rnacentral:lncRNA from 1 species
AAGGCUGUGGGAGCAUGUGGAGCCAUGGGGUUACCAUCCUUCGCAUCCUUGGUUGUGAUCAAGGAUGCACACUGCACCCUCUAGGAGAGUUCCUGAACUUACUUUCUUAAAUAUUGCAUGGUUGGGCAAACUUAGCACAGAUGCCUGAUAUGACGCAUGCAUCAGACCCCAAAGGAUGGAGCCCACGUCGGCUAGGAGAAGCAGCUCUUCGCUGGUGGUUGCAGAGGGAGCCUUCACAGGGGUAUAUCAGAAAGGGAUUCAGAUCCCCUGUUUGUGAUGUAACAGAAACUAUACGAGCUUUGAAACCAAGUAAAAACGUGGACCGGACCCUUGUCCUUACCUAGCCGUGUCAUGCUGCACACAGGUCCUGCUGUCUUGGUAGCAGUCCAUCUCCGAGGACUCCUGGGGAGAGGAUCCAAGCGCAGCCUGAUACCCAGUGUGCAUCCGACAAAUGUCAUAACAACAGCUGCCAUUCUGUGGGAAGACAUGUACAUUUUACACAUGCACUUUAAUGCAAGAAGCCUCGAAGAGAAGGCUCCUAAGACAAAUAGGAAUUUAGUUGGCCCAAACAAAACAAACCAAAAAUUCGUGUGGGAUUUCUGGAGUCCUGAACAUGGUCAACAUGAAAACAGA